AUUGAACGCUGGCGGCAGGCCUAACACAUGCAAGUCGAGCGGAUGAGAGGAGCUUGCUCCUCGAUUCAGCGGCGGACGGGUGAGUAAUGCCUAGGAAUCUGCCUAGUAGUGGGGGACAACGUUUCGAAAGGAACGCUAAUACCGCAUACGUCCUACGGGAGAAAGUGGGGGAUCUUCGGACCUCACGCUAUUAGAUGAGCCUAGGUCGGAUUAGCUAGUUGGUAGGGUAAAGGCCUACCAAGGCGACGAUCCGUAACUGGUCUGAGAGGAUGAUCAGUCACACUGGAACUGAGACACGGUCCAGACUCCUACGGGAGGCAGCAGUGGGGAAUAUUGGACAAUGGGCGAAAGCCUGAUCCAGCCAUGCCGCGUGUGUGAAGAAGGCCUUCGGGUCGUAAAGCACUUUAAGUUGGGAGGAAGGGCUCAUAGCGAAUACCUGUGAGUUUUGACGUUACCAACAGAAUAAGCACCGGCUAACUUCGUGCCAGCCGCCGCGGUAACAC
rnacentral:rRNA from 1 species